rnacentral:tRNA from 1 species
GCCUGGAUGGCUCAGUCGGUAGAGCAUGAGACUUGAUCUCAGGGUCAUGAGUUCAAGCCCCACACUGGGCA